CGUCCAUUCAUCAAGGACAAUACUGGCCCCACAUAACAUUAUUCAGCGGCCAGUAAUUCUCCCCCGUUGGAGAGCCGUAUAAGUCCAAAAAUCGCGAACUGUUCCUCAUUCCUUAUCAUCAAUCCACCAUUGAUAACCUUUCUCUCUUUCUCUCUAUAGGUGUACUAUGAAAAUCCCACCGCGUGUGGUUUGUUCUUUUGAUAUGAUCAUAUGGUACUGGGACUGAAUGGAUAACUAGAAGCCCAAAAAAAGUGGUGCAGAGAGAGAGAGAGAGAGAGAGACGGGGGGGGGGGGGGGGGAAGUGGUCUCAUAAAGUCUUCUAUCUUUCAACACUGCAACUGGCAAUUGAUUAAAAGCUAGGUUCUUGAAGCGUCCACCGCUGAAAAUACCAUUUUCAGUUCGAUUUAUUGGUUAAACAUGCCACCAACUCGUUAAACCAUCCACAACCACGAUCGAAUCCUCCAUUAUUUAUAGUUACAUUGCUUAUAACUUUCUUAUUCAUAAACUGCAGCAUGAAAGAGAUGAUUAUUAGAACUACCUGCCUUGGAAUGGUGAAGGCAAGAAGGAUAGAUGCGACAGCUUUCUUCAUUAUUCUGUGUGUGUUUGGGUUUGUGGGGGUGGGCUAGGCUUGGUGAUUUCACAGAUAAACAGUGACCAAAAACCCUAAUUUUCUAUUUCUGUGAUUUUCUUAAGAGGGUACAAGGGGGGAUUUGAACGUUCUUUCCAAAAAUAGGUUUGUCUUUAGUUUACAGAUCUCACUCCUGUAGGCUGUGGCCUUUAAUGUUUAUGACAAAAGCAAAUCUAUGAACCGUUGGAUAAAGAUAUUUUGGUCAAGAGCUGGAGUUAUGCGGUUAAGUCUGUCUCUGUGUGUGAGAGAGUGAGAGAGAGAGUCAUACUGACAGAAGAGAGUGAGCAUAAGCAGGCAAUUGUAUGGAGAGUAUACAUUUGUGGAUGCGUGUGCUCACUUCUCUUUCUGUCAGCUUAAUUCCCUCUCUUCCUUUCUCGUUUAUGGCUUUUGCUUUUACAUCCCCAACCCCGACGUGUUCGUUCGACUCGCAGGGAUCGAGUCUACACACUAACCCAAGACACACACUAACCCAAGACCUAAAAUUGCUUGCUUUAUUGAAAACUGAAAAGUAAAGCAAGAUGAACAGAAGUGACGGGGCUGCAAUUUCAAGAAGAUGAAGGGACUCGCAAAGAAAGCCAGCCACUUAAAAAAUGACUAUUCAAAGCUAUUCAACCACUACAGCCACACAUAUGCAGCCAUAAAUGCUCCUACCAGCUCAGGCUUCACUGUGUAUCCCAUUAUCCUAUCCUGAUAGGUCACCUGUACAAAUAAACACAAUUUUCUGUUUUACUUUCUUGGUGGAAAAAAUUGACCACUUUCUUCCAGCAGGAGAGGUUCAACCACUUUAGUUUUUGGCAUUUUCUUGAUGUGAUUUUGUUUAUCCACUUAAUUUUUAGCAUUUCUUUGAUCUUAUCCAUCAUAGUGUGAUGGAGAUUGGAAGCUCUCGAAUUUUGAUGUCUCUUCUGAAGAGAAUGAAGUGGGUUUGGAAAGGACCGUAAGGUACUAUUUUGAUUUAACGGAAAAACUUUGUGUUUUCUUGGGGCCAUCAGGCGAUUAAAAUAUAUUUAACCUAAUAUUAUACUGUUUAUCUUGCCAUUUCCGUCCACUAUCUGCAACAAAAAUACAGUGAUUUUGCUGAAAUCUUUCAUAUUCCCUCUGCCUCAACUAAACUCUAGAUCCAACCAGCUGGACCUUUUUCCUUUGUAACUAGCAAAGAAAGGGUCUUGAUCCCGUGAAUUACUUCUGAAGAAUUUAGGAAUCAUCAAAUUUUGUUUCUAAGUGCAAAAACUUGGGUUUUUAUUUCUUCGUGGUCUGAUUUAAAAGUAUGUGGUUCUUUCUAUCCUAUUUCUGGCAGAAAAUUUGAUUCUUUUAUUUAUAUUUUAUGUGAUAUAAUUUCUUAGACAAUUAACGCAGUUUUAAUUCUAUUUCUAGAUCUUGAACAUCGUAUGGUAAUGUUUACUUUCUAUUGAGUGCAAGGAACUUUGGGUGCUACCUGAACGUGGGAAGGCUUUUGGUUUUCUUCAGCGGGAAGAUACCCAGAGAAUCAUGGGCAUAUGGAGAAGAAAGGGAAUUUUCCAUGUACAGGUUUGGGACUUGCAUCAGUACUAUCUUUAUGAUGAUUUAUAUUUAUCCCUUUUUUAUAAAGUCCUUUGUCGAUUAGUUGUUAAUAUUGCUAUAUAAGCACACGAUAGUGUAAUUCUGUGACAACAGUUACUCCUACUUGCCACAAGAAAUUUCUAGCUUCAAUUGCAGAAAUUAACUUGAUCCAUGCUUAGUUUUCAUGUCAUUGUAUAUUUUCAGAUUCUUGUGAUAUUGUUGAAUUGUGUUUAAUUAUCUCUUGUUUCGGGGCAAAUUAUAUGUUUUUGCUCUAUGAUUUUAACUUAAUUAGGAUAUUUGAAUGUAUAAUUACCUCAUAUAUUGAAGAGUUACCAAGAUUGUUUGCUUGUUUUAAGGAAAACAAUUAGGAUUUAUUUCGAGAAAUUUUCUUGUGUUUGAUUUAUUUCCUUCUAUAACCAUAUGGUUCAAUUAGGUCAUUUCCCAUUUUAUUUUGGUAAUUUUCCAUUUUUGAUAGAGAUUUUAAGCAUAAAUAGACGUAGAUUUUUUAUUUAGAUAAAUUAUUGAAUUGAAUUAAGUGCACUGUUGAAUGUUGAUAACUUUCUCUCUGACUUUUCACUUCUCUCUCUCUCUCUCUCUUUUCCUCCCAUUUCCUAUCAUUUUCUUGUGUUCUAUAUAGUGCCCCAUCGGCGUUACAUCUCGAAAGAAGUUUCUAUAUUAAACGCAUAAUUGAGGUCGUAUGUGUUCUAUUUACUUUGGGAUUAAGAUUUAUGCUUGCUUUCAUGAUGCCUGAUACUUAAUUGAGCACGCAUUUGCAAGAUUUGGUCUGCAGAUUGGAUUGCAUAGUUUUUCUUAUCCUACAGGAAGAAAACCUAUUUUAUGUUGGUAAGAGACAUAACUGUGUUUUCAGUUUGUUAAUUUUGUUGCAGCAGAUCCUUCAUAUGAUUAUCAAAUUGCUCACGGACGAAGUUGGGAUUUUUUGUGGGAACAUCUGCAUCCAGAUCUUUAAGAGGUAAGUGGCUUUCAUAUUCUGCAGUUAUAUUUAUGUACCAUAUAUAUUUUGCAUGACCAGGUUAAAGAAAAUGAAGGAGAAAAAUGUUAUCAAAUCAUUAUGAUAUCGCAGCAUCUAGGAACUCUGACGUUAAGAUGAUUAUUGCUUGAGGUGUAAACCCCAAAGAUUAGAUUUUUCAAGUCAACUUUGAAUAUUGUUUAUUUUUACUUUGAAUAUUGUUUAUUUUUUGGCUGGAGACCACGUUGGAAAUUUAUAUUUGUAAUGGUCUUUGUAUGUAUAUCCCUUCGAAGGUAAUAUAAUGUAGUAGUUGAUUUCGAUCUUGUGCUUUAAAUCUUAUACAAUGUGCCUAAUUCAGAUACAAGGUGUGAUCUCUAAUGAUUUUAAGAUGUUGAUUAGUUAGGGAAAGAGAAUAGUGAAGUGGACAACACUAUUCGGUAAUUAGGCUUCUUUUUGUGUUCCUUCUCCUUUUAGUAAAUAUAACCAUAUAUGAGAUUAUUUUUUUUUGGGAGGGGGUGGGGGUGUUCUGGUAGAGGUGGGGUUCUGUUGGACCUAAACCAGUAAAUUAACAAGAGAAAUAAUGCAAAGGUGAGCACCCGACUUCUUCGACGUUACAUAAAUGACCUAGGGUAUAUCAGGAACUAGGUUUGAAGUUUGUCUGUGAAUUACAAAAAUAGAGCAAUAAUUAGGUUUUUUAUUCCUAUGCUUGAGCUUGAAAAGUGUCUGAUACUAUUUUUAGUUUCCUUAAUCCCCAUGGAAGAACUUAGAGUGUGUUUGAUUGGUAUGGAAAAUAUCACCUAGAAAAGAAAAUAUUUUUCAUCUUUUGUGGAAAAUAAAAAUCACCUCUACCUAAGGAAAAUGUUUUCCCUAAAAACAAGAAAAAUUAGGCAUAUUUUCAAAAGUUGGAAAAUAUUUUCCAUGAAAAAAAAUAGCAAUCACACACUUUAAAUAGGAAUUUGGGUGAAAAUUUAAUAUUUUUCAUGGAAAAUAAAUGUAAUCAAACACACCAUUAUAUCUAUAUUAUGGCCUUUGGUUAGAUUUGGGGUGCAGUGGGGUGGGGGGGAUUGAAUUUGUUAUCUUAUGGACAAUUUUUCUUGAAGAUAUUUGUUAAUAUGGACAAUGAAAUGGAUAAGUCGAUGAAAACAGUCAUAAUUUCUUGAAAAGUUCAUCAUUUUCAAUGAUUUUAACUUGUAGUCAAGCAGUAAAAGUAACAUGAUAUGAGUCUUCAUUUAAUUCAAAUGAUAUAACGUAUAGGACAUUGUAUUUCAAGGACAAUUUGACAACGAUAUCGUUAUGCUAGUUGAGAAUAUUGGUUAUAUUAUAUAUAGUUGUUGUCAAAACCUAAUGCUGCAAACAAUUUAGACUAUCAUAUGAGAAAUUGUCCUUGUAGUUAACUUCUCUACUUUUUGAAUAUUAUCUCUUGCAAUUUUUUUCUAUUCUACUAUAAAAUAAUAAAAAAGUGGUGAUUAAAUGUUUGUUUCUGUUUUUUCAUUAUAAAUAACCUAAAAUUUUGUACAUUUCUAUUAUUGUCCCUUGUUUGAUUUUGAUUAUUUGAGAAUCACUUCUUUCCCACGUUUAUAUAUAUAUUUAACCACACUUUCUAAAAAAAACUCAUUUUUUUUUAUCAUUUUCCUAUUUUUUUUUAACUGUAUAUUCACCUAAAAAAAAAAAAAGAAAAAGAAAAGAAAAAACACUUGACAAAGAAUCACUCUCUAUAAAUCUUCAUCUACCAAGCACCUCAUUUGUUCCUUCAAGCAAAAUCUCUGCAUUGGACUUGAGGAUCUUACGUACAUUAUGCAUGAGCUCCAUCUUUCUCAAAACUUAUUUUCAACCACGCAUUCUCCUAUAAAAUAAUUUUACACGUCAAUUCAAAUUUUUUUUUCAAUUUUUUAACUAUACAUUCACCUGAAAAUCACUAUUCCAAAACAUGUUUUUCCCAAAAUAAAAUAAAAUGGGGAUUCACUAUUCUGAAACAUGUUUUCCCAAAAAAAUGGGGAUCAAAUAGGUCUAUAAACCACAAUUAUGUGUUUCUCUUAUUUACUACAGUUUUUUUCCGACAUAUAAUGAAGUUUUCUGUAUUUUUUCCACGUUUCACUAUUCAUAACAAUUUUUUUACUUUCAAGUUGUACUAUGGUUUAUAUUGAACGUAAUGCUACCCUUUUCAUGUAGAAUCACGUUAGCACUAUUAACAUUCAAGUACACCAAAAUUCCAUUCAAAUUUUAGAUUUUAGGGAACUAGUGAGGCUUGGGUGUUGGGUGGCAUAGGCUUCAGGCAAUUUACUAAAGAAAAAACUACUCGAAUAAAGGGCAGAAUGGUCCUAGUAUUAUAAUAGCCAGGACCACUUAUUAUAUUUUGGAUAUUUCAUAAAUGAAAUCAUUUGGGUCCACGUAACCAUAACAUUUUCUAAAAAAAAUUCGUGAGCUAAUAAUAUAAAUCAUUUUUCCAACGUUUAGUAAAAAUAGAAUAAAUAUAUCACCAAAUACAUAUUUCAAUAAUUUUUUAAUCGAGUGCACAUGUCACCAAAUAAUAUACAAUACUAGUAUAAUGACAUUCAAUUCUGUUUGUGGAGCUAUUUGCAAUAUCUUAAGAAAGGUCUGUGAGACGAACAUGUAUGUGCGGUCCGAAUUGACUGUGAAUGAAAGCGAUAUUACUUAAUUAUUCAAAUGAAUGAAUCUGAUUGAUUAGGUACCUACUACUUGGGCUAAACGCUAGCUAAGCCGUGUAAACAUGGACUUGUUAGGAUGGGGUCAUUGGUUUAGGUUGAAUAAAUUUUAAAAAAUAAAAAUUUAAAAAGAAUGACAAAUUCGAUUUAAGAGUCUGGUACUUUCAUUUCGGCUUCAAGAACCAAAACCCGAUCGAUUUUUUAUUCUUUGUUCCAAUUCGUUAAUCAUUUUUUUGAAACCCGAAAUAGUAGUGAUAGUAUAUCUUUCCUAUCAUGUAAGAACUAUAGUUCACGUGGGUUUAGCACGCCUUACUCUAUUAGGGUGAAUAUUACUAUUUAGAUGAAUGGUGAUAAAUGAAGUAGAUUAAAUGUAUUGCUAACAAUAUCAUAUUGCAUUUGGUGCUACAUGGCCUUAAAAGAAUGUAAUAAGCUGUAUUAUGUGGUUUAUCAUAUUAUCUUAUUUCUUAUGAUCAACUAAUGCAAUUUAUCACGAAAAAUUGCAUGCAAAUAUGAAUAAUGUGGUAAUGUUGUGUGUGUGUACAUGUAUAUUAUGAUUAAUAAAUAAAUGUUAAACUAUUUAAAAUCAAUCAAAUUCAUACAUAAAAUUACAACAGAUUAACUGUUACCUAAAGUUGAUGAUUAUUCUAGAGUUUGUGUUUUAUUUCUUCAUUGUUUUUUUAAUUUUUGCCAAUUUUUAACUUUGUAUCUUGCAAGAGAAAUUAUUUCAUAUUUAUAUAACUGGGAGAUGUGGUGAAUACUUAAUUUGUUUGUCUUUCUUAAUUAAUUGUGAUUGAUAAGGCCCUAAUUACCAAUUGUUGGUCUUCUCUAUUCUUUAUUAAGUUUUUGUGCCUAGUAAUGUUUAAGAAUAACUGCAUUAUUGGCCCACAAUCUAUUGUCCUAGUUGCAAGUUUGUAGACGACUUUUAAAGAGAAGCAAGUCCUCUUUCAUCGUAUUUGUACUAUAGGCCCCCAAUGACCGUAACCGCCAUUUAACACUUCAAAUUCUUCAUCUCUGGCCCAAGUUUUAGAUUUAUAAAGUCGUGUUAGGGCUACAUCAUGAUUUAAGUGAACAAAUAGUUUCAUAAGUAAGGGUAAACAUGGUUCCACUUAAUUCUGGUUCUUAGAUAACCAAAUUGAACGGAUGAUUUUAUUUAAUAAUGGAUCCAAUGGUUUGUUUUAUUAUUAUUUUUUACUUUUUUAACGAUAUGGAACCAUAUCGGAAUUGAAUCAUUUGGUUCUGGUAUGUUUACUUAAUUUUUAAAUGGUAAACGCAAAUUAAAAGCUAUCACCAUAUCCAUAAGUUAGUAAUAUAUACCUAACCUACAAAAAAAAAAAAAAAAAAAAAAAAAAAACAUUAAGCAAAAUGUAAUGAUAGUUGUGGGGUAGGAGUGUGAGUGUGUCUAAAAUUGAAAAGGAGAAAGAGCGUAGAAUUCAGAUCUAGCGUUUGGACACUUUAUCUGAUAGGUGAUAAGAUAAAAUGUAAUGGUGAAUGACCUUUUUUCAAUUUUACACUUGCAAUUUAUAGAAUUAAAUUUUUGGUGUAUUCACUGAUUUGUAAAAGGAAAAAUAUAUAAAAAUAAUAAUAAAAAUUGAGUCGGUUCUUGUAUUUAGAAACGAAAUUGGAACCAAACCAAAAUCAUUAAUUUUUUUUUUUGUAGAACUGAACCUAAUCUCUCGAUUUUGUUUGGUUCUAAUUUGGUUUGGUCAUUUUGUCCACACCUAAUCAUAGAAAAAAUCAAGGACCAAUUGACUCAUUUUUAAAGCUUACGGACCAACUUUGAAAAUAUUGAGUUGGGAACCAUUGGUGCAAUUUUUCUACAUAUAUAUACGUGCGCUUGUGUAAUAUAUUGAUUUUUUUCUAGAUAUUAGGUAGCAUUUAUUAUUUAGAUUGAAAGCAUAUUCAAUUUUUCUUUCUUGAAAAAUUUUGCUAGAUAGGCGUAUAUGUUGUUCGAUUGAAAGCAUAUGCAAUUGUUCUUUAUCUUGAAUAUUUCAAUUCUUGUAUUUACAUUUUAUUCACUUGAUGCUAUUUUUUUAAGAGUAAUGCUAGUUGUAUAUAAUAAUGUAUAUGUUGGUUUACAAAUCAAUGAUGUUGAAAAGAGAGAGAGAGAGAGAGAGAGAGAGAGAGAGAGAGGAAUAAAAUGAAGUUAAUAUCGUCAAUCUGUACACAAUUAUGUACAAAUUACAUUACUCUUUUUUAGUUUUUAAAUGGGAUUUUCCCUUUUAUUUUUCCAUUGUGUUUCAUGUAAACACAUUAACGCAUGCUAAUAAGCUAUGGGGCUCAGCAAAAUUAUCUACGUGUAUGGGAGAAUAAAAGUUUCUGUUACAAACUCUUUACAUUAUCUCUACUUAUCUCUAACAAAACAAAUACACACCUUUAUGUAUUUUCUCCCUAUUUUUCUGUUUCUCAUAUUCCUUUAUCAGUCCUAUAGGAUUUAUGUCGUGUCAUUCGCUAAUUACACUUUAUAGCACUUGAUAUUUAUCAAAAAUAGAUUUCUUUUCUUUUUCUUUGUAUGUACACAGAAAGAUUUCGUUAACUUGUUGCUCCAAAAUUUUCAUAUUUGUUUUUAUUUUGUCUUCCACAUAAUAUUUCCUUGUUUCCUCAUCACCGAGAUCUUUCCUUUUCUCUUGCCAACUGAAGCAAUUAAGGGGAUUGUCUUUCAAUAAUUAGUGUAUAAAUAUAAUAAAGCCCCUGUUUAAAUCUUUUUAAAUUAAAUCUCUUUAUUUCUCGUACUUAUUUUCAGCUACAAAUUUACAUAAUAAAAUAUUUUGCACGUAAAUCUAAAAAUUUUUGCCUACUUCUUAACCCAUAUUCUCCGAAAAAUUAUUAUUCAAAACAUCAUUUUCCCUAAUUUCACUUUAUAAUAGCCAUCAAACAGGGGCUAAUAUACUUACCAUAGAUAGUCUAAAACAUAGCUGUAAUUGAUUGAAAUAAGCCCGUUACCAUAGAUGGUCUAAAACCUUGUAGAAUAUUUUGGCGAGUUAUUGAUUAUUAACAACGCCAACAAGUAUUCCAUCCUAAGUGUAGAAUUACCUGCAUUAAGAAUCAAGUUUAGGAAAUCCUUUACUCGUUACUUUACAAGAAUUCCUUUCUUAAGAGAAAUGUCCUUAUUGAAGUUGGGGUAGGAAAGGCAUUAUUCCUAUUUCAUCUAUUCCAUGACCGGAACAUGCGAGGAUACACGUUAUACCAAGAUUCUUUCACCAAUCCCCUUCUAAGGGAAGGAGGAACGGUAUUACUUAAUCCAAUCCUUCCUUCAUAAAGAAUGAUGGGGAGAAGAAACAUUCUUAUCAAAGUCAAAGGAGCGUGCUAACCACUCCCCUUUCUGUACCAUUGCUAGGAGCCUCGUCCUCUUGAUUUGGCACAGAAUUCUAUUGUAAUAACAUACAAUUGUAGAAGAGACCAAUAGAAAUGGUCUAGUUUCCAAAGAAAUCAAGAAUGUAAUACCCAAAUAUUAUUGGUUAUGGGUUGGCUUGACAUUCAUAACUCUAUUUGAGUCAUCAUCAUAGAGGCUAUGUCAUAGAUAUCUCUUUCUAAGCCAUAAACUAAUCAUGGGAAAAAGGUAAAGGUAUUCCCGAUGAAUGUUUAGUAUAGUUUGUUGAAUUCUUGCACUAAGAUUGUGAGCUAAUUUAAUGAAAAGAUUAUAGAUUUAUGUUUUUGCAUUUUGGGGUUCAGGAACUUCAUUCUAGAUCUUUUGGCCAAUGGUAAGAGGCAAUUUGGGAGCAUUGGUGGUAACUAACUGAGCCGUGACAUUAACACCACUGGUUGGUCAGAUCAUUUCAGUUGUGACUUUGCUUCACUUUGUUUAGUCAAUCCUUCACAAUUUCUCGUAACAUGCCAAUUCUUGUGACAAUAGUAACACCCAACGUCCCUCCAAGAACAUGACAGAGCUUGAUCACUCUUCCUCUCAUAAGUCUUUCCUUGCAAUGCACUUCUACCAGGUUUAGUUUCAGUUUUUGCCAAAAGAAUGUAUAACGAGGUUUACCACCUGGCUUCUUGAUAUUGGUGGUUAUCUCUUAGAAAACAGCAGGGACCUUAUUCAUAGUCAAAGUGAAUUUUCCAACUAGUAGCAUAGUUUCUAUAGUCCCGUAUGACGUGGACAAGAAAGACAUCAAAAUUAUUGCUUUGUCUUCACUCUCAUUCUCUAUUUCGAUGCAUAAUUAUUAAAAUAAUUCCCAACAGCAGCCCCUCUUCAAUCUUUCACUCAUACAAUUGGUUUAUUAAAUACAUUCUGUUUAUUGGGGAAUUGGACAAAUCACCUUUCUAAUGUUUUCUGUAGUUUAACAAGAGGUAAUCAUGCUGGAUUGUAUCUCAAGAGCAAUGAGCAAUCUAAAGGUAUGUUCUUGUUGUAUUUGCUUCCAUUUCUACCAAUUCUGCAUCUUCCACCCGUUAUAUAUCUUAACUUGCAAUACUUUAGGAGCUCUAGUUGCACUAAGACAUCUUUAACAAUAAUAUGUCAGACAUUAAGUUACUUUUCAAAUUAUCAAAAUGCUCACCUCAAACUUUGAAUUUGCCAUCACCUUCAAUGAUAGCGAGUUUUGGACUGUCAACUCUGAUGCCACUUGAUGGAAAAACACUGCAUACUAAUAAAAGCAAAUAGAAGAGAGAGAACUCAAUUUACAUGGUUCGGCAAAACCGCCUACCACCACAAUAAGAGAGAAUUAAUUCACUAAUCAAAUCUUCAAAUGCAAACUCUUUUCACUCUCUAGUCUAAACACAAUGUAUGUCCAUAUUCACUCUCCCUAUUUUAUUCUCUCUUGUUGCUUCCCUUUUAUUACUUCUCUCUCUAUUUCUGUCUCUCUCUGUGUGUGUAAUUCACUAAUUGUAUGUUCAUCACCUUGUAGCACAAAUCCAUAUUUGUCGAAUAUAAGUUUUGUCUUUCUUUUCUUUCUUUUAUUAACUUUCUUUGUACAUGGUAAGAUUUUCUGCUGUUAACAUUUUGCACAAUGAUUUUCCUCUUUUUCCUUAUUUUUUCUUCCACAUAAUAUUUUUUUUAUUUUGUUGUGCACCCAUGUCCAUCCUUUUUCUUUCUCGAAGAAAAUAUAAACAAAAUAAUGGGAAUCAUAUCCUACAGUGGGAAUCAUGAAUAAAGAAUCUCAAGCUAGAGUUUCAAGAUUUUUACAAAUAAUAAGAAUAAAAAUCUGAAAAUUUAAGCCACUUCUGAGAAAAAGAGAAUUUUAACCAAAUGGACAUGCUUAAUCUGCCCUUGAUGGAUAGUAAUAGCUUUUGCUUUAUGAAUAUUAUUUCGUGAAAUAUCCAUUUAAUUCUGUUCCAUUGUCUAACAACAGAAAAAUGGCGUUGACAUUCCACAUCUGUGUUUUGGAAUAAAUCCCUAUAUAAUGUUCCACUUUUAGUCAUUUAAUUGGAUUAAAAGCUAGCCAAUAACAGAACACAGCAACCUUAUGCUUUUUCAAUGGGGAUUCCAAAGGUGAUGUUCAGCUUGUAGACAAAUAAGAUAAAAAAAAAUAUAUUUAUGGUGAGAAAUAAGAAAGAAAUGGACCAAAAAUAAGGAACAAUAAACCCCGAUUAUGCUUGUAUGCUAUGCCUUCUUUUUGGAUUAGAGAACCUUAUUAGAUAUUAUAAACCCUGAUUAUGCUUGUGUCUCUUGUAUGUGACAGUUUAUUACCAUUUUUUUAUUUUUUAUUUUUUUGUAUUUUUUCAACUUUAUACUCCCUCUUUUUCUCAAUAAUUUUUUGUUGAGUUAAGUGAAUAAGGAUAUGCUUUUCAGCCACAAGCAAAAUAUAUCUGGAAGAAAGUAUGAUUAUUUGGUUUCAAGUAUUGUUUACUUGUGAUACGAAUGUAAUACUUCUCUCAAGUAGAAUUACUUUGGAGUAUUGAUUUCAUUUACUUCAGAGUAUAUAUUUUUAUUUCAUUCCCUAUUUGGUUGAGAUUAAUUUCAGAUUUUUAGUGGAUUUUGACAAAAGUUGAUGAAAUAUGCCAUUGAAAAGUUGUGGGCCCGAAAUAUAUAGUUAGAAUUAAUUAUUGACUUUGACUAAUAUUAAAAUCUGAAUUUUAAUCCUAGCAUAGUAAAUCUUUCCAUUUAAGAACUUUAGUGUCUUACUUUUCAGCUGGCCAUGUGUAAGAAAUACCUGUUAUAUUUGGAUAUGCUAUGUCUAUUUUUAUGUAUGUGUCGCAUAAGGAUGUAUUAGGUAUAUAUGCGUCGCACAUGCAUGUGGACUCAAAUUUAUGAUUUUGUCAUAUACAUACAACAAUCACGUUUUCUAGUUUGUAAUAUGAUGUAAUAUUCACUUAUACAUUGUGGAGUAAAGGGCUGGGCUUGUCUUGCUGCUGUAUAGCAUUUGGGUUUACUUCAUCCGUCAAAGUGAGAUGUACAUCAAGAUGAUGUUUUGCCUUUCAAAAUUCAAAUAGAUAGGAAUGGUGCCUUGGUGUUUGCUGAGUGCUUGUGGACACGUAAAUUAUAAGUGGAUCCAGGAAAGUUCAAGAAUAGAAAAUUUACUUUGGUUCAUAUCAAAGCCUCAGUCGAUAAUAUGCGAAAAGCUUUUCCCUUAAACUCUUCCGAUCGGGAAGCAUAAUUAGGGAGCUGCGUUUGCAAGAAUAAUACCUCUGCUAUAGUUACUACUCAUAUUCAUAUGUAAUUAGCUUAAAUUAGUAUGUGUCUGGGCGAAGUAGAUGUGGAUACUCAUUCAACAAGAUUAACAUUAGCUAAAUUUAGAUCGUUUUAUCAGGUUUAUUGCCUCUAAUGGGGCCUCCGCAGCCUCUCCUACUGAGAGAAAGACUCAUUUUCCGGGCACAAUAGCAAGUACCUACUGCAUUGCCUCGCAUGCCACCCCCGCAUUUCCUGGGGGCUUCUUUUUAGGGAUACGCUCCUAGGAGAGCUCGCCCUAGAAUGAGGAGUAAAAUAAGCCUUUGGAUAGUAUAUGGUGUACUUUUUACUAGCAUGCCUGAACAACCUACAGUUGAAAGAAAGAGUAGACGUAAGAUGAGAGAGGGAGAAAAAUGGUGGGAGGAAAUGAGGGAUUUCAACUGUCAAAGUGAAAAGUAAGGAACCAGUUAUGAUUACAAUCAGUGUAAAUCCUUUUAAUGACUUAGCUUACUUCAUGAGAUGUAAGAUUGCUAGAGACCCAUCUCUUUUGAAAAAGGGGUGAUGUUUAAACUGUUUUCAAGUUCAUUGUGAAUGAUAUAAAUGUCUUGCAAUUUACUCAAACAUGCUUCCUGUUGAAGUCAGUAUAAGUUUUUGUUUGGAAUAAACUUGCAUCUUUGUAGUUGUUUCCUGCAGGGCUUAGAGAUUUCUUUCAUAAAAUGCUUGAAAUUUGGUUCUCAAUAUCUUUCAUUACUCUUACUCCAUGUAUUAGUUUGCUUAUUAAAUUAGCAUCAGUUUGGCAAAUUUAUAAAUAGUUUACAAAAGUGAACUAGUAGUGAGUCACACAAAAUAAAUGGAUAACAAGAGAAAUUGGUGCAGGUGAUCACAAAACUUUGUCUACCUUGGCAUCUUGGUGCCAAACCUUUAAAUCGUAGCAAUAACCGUCGCAAACAUUUGCAUUUUUGACAACAUUGGUUCUUUUGGAUAGAUUCCGUCCAAAAGGACAAUUAGUUUUGUGCCUGAAAUGCACUAUCUUUUAAGGAUAUUCUUAGUAACAAUAAUGUCCCCAACUAAUUUUUCGUCUUAUUUAAGUCUCACUUAUUAGUAUUUUUAAAAAAAAAUACAAGUUUAUUAUUGUUUUCAAAUAAUGCAGUUAGGAUAUUACAUAAGAAAUGGAGUUAACUUCCCUAUAAAAAAUUUCAUUGUUUAUGUGAUCUUUUUUUUUUUUUUUUUUUGUUAUUUUUGUUAGAAAUUUUAUAUUUCUUUAGUUACAAGUACUGAUCAUAUGAUAAUUUCAUCCUUUAUGACUGGGAAUGAAAGAAAAUGCAUAGAAAAGUUUGUAAUAUGAUAACAUGUAACUCGAGGGGCUCAAAUUUGGAGAAUCUGAAGUUAGAUUCUUAAUAAAGUGCAUGAUGACUUGUGUGCAAGGAGAUAAAGAAUCUGUAAUUAAUAAGUUUUGCAUCUUGUGCAGAUUAUUUCCCUCUUAGGCUUUUCUUCAAGAUAGCAUGCUGAAUUUCAUGAGCUUUCGUUCGGAUAAGGCUAGAAGAAGAUUUUGGUUCCAACGAUGGAGGUUUCGUAAAAAGGAUCGGAGGCAUUCCACUGGUUACAGGGUCGAAAUUCACAGUAUUGGUGGUCAACUGGUGCAUCAUACUUUCAAACAGUUCAUUUAAAAGUUUAAAUACUCGAAAUGUUGACCAUAUUUAGUUCAUGUUUGGCCUUAUUUUUUAGAACUCAUUUUUUUUCUCAAAUUCAUUUUCAAUAACACAUUUUAUGAGAUCCGUAACUUUUAUCAACUUUUUAAUCGUAUAUUUUAUCAACAUUUAUCAAAAUUUACUAAAAAAACUAAUUAUUAUCCAAAUCGGAG
rnacentral:lncRNA from 1 species